rnacentral:lncRNA from 1 species
AGAGGUGUGAGCCACCGUGCCCAGCCUUCAUUAGGCACAUUUUCUAUUGCUCACAUAGCUUCAAGUGACAAUGUUACUAACUUUCUUCCACCACGUAAUAAGGGUUUGUCCCCUUUCCUCCUGCUUCUAAUAAAAAUUUCUCACUUUCCUUUAAGCCCUCACCAGCAACUUCCUUGAGAACUAUCAGACUUCCAUCAACAAUAUCCUCAAAGUCCUUACAAUCUCUACCCAUCUCCCAGUCCUAAAGCCACAUGACUUAGGUUCUGUGAUGGCAGCAUUCCGUUUCUAGGUUAUAGAAAAGUCUGCAUCAGCUAUCUAUUGCAUGAUAAGAAACCAUCCCCAAACAGUGGUCUUAAGACAACAACAAUCAUUUAUUUUGUUCCUGAAAUUUGAGGGUUGACAGAGACUAAGCUAGGCAGUUCUCACUCAGGGUGUCUCAUGAGUUUGCAGUCAAUUGGUGGCUGGGGCUGAGGUCAGCUCAAAUGCUGGGGUCUAGACUAGGAGGUUCACACUGCUUGGGGCUGGAUGGCUGGAACUCCUCAGGAAUCUCUCACUUUAAAUGCAGUCCCUCUACAAGGCAGCCUCAGGGUAGCUGAGUUUCUUUCACAGCAGCUGAAGCCUCCCGACAUGAGUGUCCCUAAAGGAAUCAUCAGAAGCUGCAGGGUCUUUUCUAACCUAGCCUUGGAAAUCACACAGUGUCACUUUUGCCACAUUCUAUUUGUCUAGGCACUCCCACAUUUCCACCCAGGUUCAAAGGGAGGGGACAUAGGCUCCACUUCUUGAUGGAAAGAGAGUCAAAGGAUUGUGUACACGUUUUAAAACACACAAAUGUUUAAGUAAUAUGUCCAAGGCCAAAUAGCUGGAAAGUGACAGAGUUGAGGUUUGAACCCAGGCAUUCUGAUUCUAGACUCACAUUCUCAACUGCUAGUCUACACUGCCUCCUGUAAGUUGUAGACACAAAUGGUCUACAUGAUGCAGAAGUUGGGGAGACAGGGGUUCCCUGGCUUGGGAAAGUUACUGUCUUGCUUUUCUGUACUCACCUUCCUUUCAGAAAGGUAGUAGGACUCAUAUUACCUUCUUCUGGGGUGGAGUGGCUUCCUGACUGUAAAAUGAAUGAACAAAUCAGAGCUGGAGCAGCCUCCUCUCAAGGAAUUAUCUCUUCCUUGAGAUCAUUUUCUUCCCAUGGCCAUCAGUGCCUUGACUGGUUUCCAUGUCACUCUCAUUGUGGCCUUCAGACACCUCCUUGUCAUCUGUUCCUGUGAUCUUGCUCUUAACUUCUCACCACUAGUUUUUUAGUUUUUUUCACAGGGGGAUGGAAGAGUACCCUUUGGCAUUUCUUUCUUUCUUUCUUUUUUUUCUUUUUUUUUUGUGCUAGGAUUACAGGCGUGAGCCACCACCCCUGGCCUAUCCUUUGACAUUUCAAGAAUGUCUGCCAGCCUGUUUGGAGGAAGGCAUCCUUUCAAGCCUGAAGAUCAUUCAUCAGAAGAUGAGGCUUCUGUGGACUUUAUCAGGCCAGAGAGUUUUUCUACAUUUCCUUUAAGUCUUGACUUUGAGCAGGUUUGACUUUUAACAUCUUUGUCAUGAGCCUUAAAGUCCAGAAUAGGACUUGCAUGAUAGUCCAUGUCCCGUGAAUCUUGUCUGGAAUAGCCCUUCAUAUUCUGAACAAUGCCUAGCUGCAGAAGACAGAUCAUCCCAAAAGCACAUGGUGGACAGGUGUAAGGCCGCCAUAAAUGGGGAUGUCAUCUGUGCAAUGCACAAAAGGGCUGGGCCAAGGAAGUGAGCAGAGUAUGGCCUGAAACCCAGCCCGUGCUCCACUGGCCAAACCUUCCACCCUCGUUAGAGGCUGUGUCCGCCUGAAGGAAAGAACAGCUUUUUCUUGCUUGUCCACCCAGAGUCAGGC